rnacentral:lncRNA from 1 species
GGAGUUUGUCGGCAGCAACAGGCACGGGCACCAACUGUUCUGAUCUCUUGAAGAGCUCCUCAGGCAACCUUCUGUUUCUAGCAAGAUGAUACACCCAAGCCUUGAUGACAAGGCUUGGCUCUCAACCUCCUUGCUCCCCACCUCCUGUGAAAUACACAAAGAAAUUCAGUGAUCAUCGGGGAUGCUCUGGUCCAAACACUACCUGCCAGCCAGACGCAGGAGAUGGAUGGCUCAGCAGUAAUCGUGCUGCUUGAGCUUGGUGUCUAAUGGGGACAGUAGUGACAGGAAGUUCACAGGGACUGGAAGACAUGAGUUCUCUGAGGGAAAGGAAGGUGAAGCCUGGUGCUUAGGACCCUCAGGAGACCAUAGGAUGUGAGAAGGCUCAAGACACCCAGAGGUGGGGUCAGAAACAGGGCAAAGGAGACCAAGCAUGGGAGAGCUGCAGUGGACGUGUACAGACAGGAGAAGCAGGCCCUAAAGAAUCCCUGAGGCGGCAGAGAGGCUGGGCUGUGGAACUUUUUAAUUACUUUGCAUUAGGGGACUGUAGAGACCCAGAAGCCCACCCUUCCCCUCCCCUCAUCAGCUUAGCCCCAACAUAUGGUGGCUACCAAAGUAGUUAAAUCGGCUCUUGGUAGAAAAGGAAAGAGAUUCCUCCCAGGCUCUUCCCAGGGUCCACGGCCACACUCCAGGAGGGCUCAACUCCAGGGCAAGGCAGCUGGGACAGCAGGCAGCUGAAGGAGGACUAUUACUGCACCUUAGGGAAGAGUGCAGUGGCGAGUGGGGAGGACUCUGCUGGGACCCGGGGGUCAUGUGCAUUCCCAUUUAGUUGAGCUCUGCUUAAUCCGGGCCUAGGCUCACAGUAAUGGGGAACGAGGAGAGGCUCCCAUCAGAGACCAAGAAGAUGACAGACUCUCUGUAAAGGCUGUCAGAGGGGUCUGCAUGACCAACCACACCUGCUCCUGUUCCUUUGGGGCUCUUGUGACCUCCCUGUCUUCUUGUGAGAUCUUAUGUUCCUCCAACCCUGAGAGCUACAAACCAAUCUCCGGAAUAAAAAAAUCUGUCCCUCGUGCUGUCA